UACGAAGGGUGCAAGCGUUACUCGGAAUUACUGGGCGUAAAGCGUGCGUAGGUGGUUGUUUAAGUCUGUUGUGAAAGCCCUGGGCCCAACCUGGGAAUUGCAGUGGAUACUGGGCGACUAGAGUGUGGUAGAGGGUAGUGGAAUUCCCGGUGUAGCAGUGAAAUGCGUAGAGAUCGGGAGGAACAUCCAUGGCGAAGGCAGCUACCUGGACCAACACUGACACUGAGGCACGAAAGCGUGGGGAGCAAACAGG
rnacentral:rRNA from 1 species